GAUUUCAAUUGAAAAAGUCAUCAACAACAAAGUUGAAUAACUCAUCAAGAUCUAAAACUUUUACUUUUGUUAUUUCUUCAUCCGACGAAAUGUUAGUAAUAUUAUUCAAAAAUUUUACAUAUAUGUGUUAUAGUUUAUAAAACCAGAUAAGAGAUAUGUCAAUUUUGUGAACAAUGUUACUAUCACUUUGUCGUAUGAAGAAAUGACCAAAAUAAAAGUUUUAGAUCUUGAUGAGUUAUUCAACUUUAUUGUUGAUGACUUUUUCAGUUGAUAUC
rnacentral:pre_miRNA from 1 species